AUUGAACGCUGGCGGCAGGCCUAACACAUGCCAGUCGAGCGAGCGGCGGACGGGUGAGUAAUGUCUGGGAAACUGCCUGAUGGAUGGGGAUAACUACUGGAAACGGUAGCUAAUACCGCAUACCAUCAGAUGUGCCCAGAUGGGAUUUGCUAGUAGUUGGGGUAACGGCUCACCUAGGAGACGAUCCCUAGCUGGUCUGAGAGGAUGACCAGCCACGCUGGAGCUGAGAAAUGGUCCAGAUUCCGAGGGGAGGGAGCAGUGGGGAAGAUUGCACAAUGGGCGCAAUCCUGAUGCAGCCAUGCCGCGUGUGUGAAGAAGGCCUUCGGGUUGUAAAGCACUUUCAGCGGGGAGGCGUUACCCGCAGAAGAAGCACCGGCUAACUCCGUGCCAGCAGCCGCGGUAAUUC
rnacentral:rRNA from 1 species